ACGGGUGAGUAACACGUAGGCAACCUGCCCUCAAGCUUGGGACAACUACCGGAAACGGUAGCUAAUACCGAAUACUUGUUUUCUUCGCCUGAAGGAAAUUGGAAAGACGGAGCAAUCUGUCACUUGAGGAUGGGCCUGCGGCGCAUUAGCUAGUUGGUGAGGUAACGGCUCACCAAGGCGACGAUGCGUAGCCGACCUGAGAGGGUGAUCGGCCACACUGGGACUGAGACACGGCCCAGACUCCUACGGGAGGCAGCAGUAGGGAAUCUUCCGCAAUGGGCGAAAGCCUGACGGAGCAAUGCCGCGUGAGUGAUGAAGGUUUUCGGAUCGUAAAGCUCUGUUGCCAGGGAAGAACGCUUAGGAGAGUAACUGCUCUUGAGGUGACGGUACCUGAGAAGAAAGCCCCGGCUAACUACGUGCCAGCAGCCGCGGUAAUACGUAGGGGGCAAGCGUUGUCCGGAAUUAUUGGGCGUAAAGCGCGCGCAGGCGGUCAUUUAAGUCUGGUGUUUAAUCCCGGGGCUCAACCCCGGAUCGCACUGGAAACUGGGUGACUUGAGUGCAGAAGAGGAGAGUGGA
rnacentral:rRNA from 1 species